AAAUUUAAACCCUUUUUAAAGUAUCAAUUGGAGGGCAAGUCUGGUGCCAGCAGCCGCGGUAAUUCCAGCUCCAAUAGCGUAUAUUAAAAUUGUUGCAGUUAAAAAGCUCGUAGUUGAAGUUCUGCUAAAAGUAACCGGUCUGCUUUUAAUAAAGGUGGUAUCUUGGUGUGUAUUUAGCAAUGAUGUCCUUUGAAGUGUUUUUUACUUUAUUGUAAUAAAGCAUAUUCAGGACUUUUACUUUGAGAAAAUUAGAGUGUUUCUAGCAGGCUAACGCUUUGAAUACUGCAGCAUGGAAUAAUAAGAUAGGAUUUUAGUUCUACAUUAUUGGUUUUAAGAGCUAAAUUAAUGAUUGAUAGGGACAGUUGGGGGCAUUUGUAUUUAACUGUCAGAGGUGAAAUUCUUAGAUUUGUUAAAGACAAACUACUGCGAAAGCAUUUGCCAAAGAUGUUUUCAUUAAUCAAGAACGAAAGUUAGGGGAUCGAAGACGAUCAGAUACCGUCGUAGUCUUAACUAUAAACUA
rnacentral:rRNA from 1 species